AUGUCAAGAAAAAUGCUGAGAACAUCAACUCCCGACUCUCCAUGGUCAUGAAGACUGGACAAUACGUCCUCGGAUACAAGCAGACUCUCAAAUCCCUUCUCAACGGAAAGGCUAAGCUUGUCAUCAUUGCCAACAACACUCCACCACUCAGAAAGUCCGAGAUUGAGUACUACGCCAUGCUCGCCAAAACUGGAGUUCACCACUACAACGGAAACAACAUUGAGCUCGGAACCGCCUGUGGACGUCUCUUCCGUGUGUGCACCCUUGCAGUCACUGAUGCCGGAGACUCCGACAUCAUCCUCAGCGUUCCAUCUGAGAGCGCAUAA
rnacentral:misc_RNA from 1 species